rnacentral:lncRNA from 1 species
UAAGAUUUGAUUAGAGAUUGAUUUAAGGUUUAGAGUUUGGUUAGGAUUUGAUUUAGGAUUAAGAUUUGAUUAGGAUUUAAUUUAGGAUUUAGGAUUUGAUUUAAGAUUUGAUUUAGGAUUUAGGAUUUGAUUUAGGAUUUGAUUUAGGGUUUAAAGUUUGAUUAGGAUUUGAUUUAGGGUUUAGGAUUUGGUUUAGGAUUUGGUUAGGAUUUGGUUUAGGAUUUGUUUAGGAUUUGAUUUAGGAUUUAGGGUUUGGUUUAGGAUUUAGGAUUUGGUUUAGGAUUUUUUUGGGAUUUGAUUUAGGAUUUAUUUAGGAUUUGGUUAGAAUUUGGUUUAGGAUUUAGGAUUUGAUUUAGGAUUUAGGAUUUUAUUAGGAUUUUUUUAGGGUUUAAGAUUUAAUUAGUUUUGGCCUAAAGUUUGAAUGAAGUCCAAUAGGAUUUUAAGUAGAAUUAAAUUAAGAUUGAAUUGAGAUGUAUUUGUGAGAUAUUUGUGAUUAUUAUAAUAUUUUUUUAAGAUUUUUUUUUGUUUGUUUGAAAUUUCUUUUAGGUUUCUUUGAAUUUGAUUAAAGCUU